CUACGUGCCAGCAGCCGCGGUAAUACGUAGGGUGCAAGCGUUAUCCGGAAUUAUUGGGCGUAAAGGGCUCGUAGGCGGUUCGUCGCGUCCGGUGUGAAAGUCCAUCGCUUAACGGUGGAUCCGCGCCGGGUACGGGCGGGCUUGAGUGCGGUAGGGGAGACUGGAAUUCCCGGUGUAACGGUGGAAUGUGUAGAUAUCGGGAAGAACACCAAUGGCGAAGGCAGGUCUCUGGGCCGUCACUGACGCUGAGGAGCGAAAGCGUGGGGAGCGAACAGGAUUAGAUACCCUGGUAGUCCACGCCGUAAACGGUGGAUGCUGGAUGUGGGGACCAUUCCACGGUCUCCGUGUCGGAGCCAACGCGUUAAGCAUCCCGCCUGGGGAGUACGGCCGCAAGGCUAAAACUCAAAGAAAUUGACGGGGGCCCGCACAAGCGGCGGAGCAUGCGGAUUAAUUCGAUGCAACGCGAAGAACCUUACCUGGGCUUGACAUGUUCCCGACAGCCCCAGAGAUGGGGCCUCCCUUCGGGGCGGGUUCACAGGUGGUGCAUGGUCGUCGUCAGCUCGUGUCGUGAGAUGUUGGGUUAAGUCCCGCAACGAGCGCAACCCUCGCCCUGUGUUGCCAGCACGUCGUGGUGGGAACUCACGGGGGACCGCCGGGGUCAACUCGGAGGAAGGUGGGGAUGACGUCAGAUCAUCAUGCCCCUUACGUCCAGGGCUUCACGCAUGCUACAAUGGCCGGUACAACGGGAUGCGAC
rnacentral:rRNA from 1 species